rnacentral:rRNA from 1 species
AGUGAACGCUGGCGGUAGGCCUAACACAUGCAAGUCGAACGGCAGCACAGUAAGAGCUUGCUCUUACGGGUGGCGAGUGGCGGACGGGUGAGGAAUACAUCGGAAUCUACUUUUUCGUGGGGGAUAACGUAGGGAAACUUACGCUAAUACCGCAUACGACCUACGGGUGAAAGCAGGGGAUCUUCGGACCUUGCGCGAUUGAAUGCGCCGAUGUCGGAUUAGCUAGUUGGCGGGGUAAAGGCCCACCAAGGCGGCGAUCCGUAGCUGGUCUGAGAGGAUGAUCAGCCACACUGGAACUGAGACACGGUCCAGACUCCUGCGGGAGGCAGCAGUGGGGAAUAUUGGACAAUGGGCGCAAGCCUGAUCCAGCCAUACCGCGUGGGUGAAGAAGGCCUUCGGGUUGUAAAGCCCUUUUGUUGGGAAAGAAAAGCAGCAGGUUAAUACCCCGCUGUUCUGACGGUACCCAAAGAAUAAGCACCGGCUAACUUCGUG